rnacentral:lncRNA from 10 species
CCUGAGUAUCCAUUUCUUGCUCUUGUUUGACUCUACUUUAACACCGAAAGGAGAAUGCUUCCUUUACUCCCACCCUUGCUGAAUGCUGCUCAAGAAGAGUGGGGAACACGGCUUUCUUGUGCCUCUGUACAAGUAGAGCAGAAGAACCUGCCAUGGAGAUCCUGUAGAGGUGGCCCUCUGUGGAUAAGUGAAUACAGUACAGAGAUCUUGCACAGAAAAGUAGCUUGCUUCAGGUCACAGGGCUGCAAUAUCCUAGGGUUUUACUUUGUGACAUCAUUGCUUCUCGAGAACCAACUGACCACGAACAGCAACAAGGUCUUCAAUCAGAAUUAAAACUCAAUUCAAAACACUUUCGAAGAGCAUUUGGAGAUACAUAUUAAGAGACUGCAGUGUCUAAACUUUUAGAAGUAAAAAUGCCAUUUCUAGUCCUAUGUCCUACAAAUUCCAUUUCUAGGUAUAUACCCAAGAAAAAUGAAAAUGUAUGUCCACAUAGAAACUUCUGCAAAAAUGUUUCUACUAGCAUUAUUCAUAAUAGUAAUGUGUGGAAACAACCCAAAUGUCCAUCAACAGACAAAUGGAUAAACAAAAUGUAGUAUAUAUCCCUACAGUGAAAUAUUAUUUGCCUAUAAAAGGGAAUGAAGUAUUGAAGGCUACAAUGUGGAUGAGCCUUGGAAACAUUAUACUAAGUGAAAGAAGUUAGUUACAUAAGACCACAUAUUACAUGAUUCUAUUAAUAUAAAACAUCCACAACAGGGAAAUCUAUGGAGACAGAAUGCAGACUAUUGGUAGGGGUGGUGGGAAGGGGAGAAAAGGGUAGGGAAGUGAUAGCUAAAGAGUACUGGGUUUCUUUUGGAGAUAAUAAAAAUGUUUCAAAAUUGACUUUGGUGAUGGUUUCAUGUAUCUGUGAAUACACAAAAAACACAUAUAAUUAUACUGUAAAAAUGGGUGAAUUAUGUGGUGAGUGAAUAAUACUCAACAAAUCUCUUCAAAAAUAAUUAUAUUUAUGGGAAAUCAAAGUUGAGAAAAUGAUCCAAAAUAAACCAGAAAACUCCUUUCG